rnacentral:rRNA from 1 species
GAUGAACGCUGGCGGCGUGCCUAAUACAUGCAAGUCGAGCGAACAGACGAUGAGCUUGCUCCUCUGACGUUAGCCGCAGGCGGGUGAGUAACGCGUGGAUAACCUACCUGUCAGUCGGGGAUAACUUCGGAAAACCGGAUCUAAUCCCAGAGGAUAUACUGAACCGCAGUGGUCAAUGGUGAAUGACGGUGUUUCGGUCACUUAUAGAUGCAUCUGGGCCGCAUUAGCUAGUUGUGAAGGUAACGGCCUACCAAGGCAACGAUGCGUAGACGACCUGAGAGGGUGAUAGCCCACCUGGGAACGGAGACACCGUCAAGACUCCUACGGGAGGCAGCAGUAGGGAACCUUCCGCAAUGGGCGAAAGCAUGACGGAGCGACGGCGCGUGAGUGAUGAAGAUCUUGGGAUCGUAAAACCCUGUUACUAGGGAAGAACCACUGUGUAAGUAACUAUGCACGUCUUGACGGUACCUAAUAAGAAAGCACCGGCUAACUACGUG